rnacentral:lncRNA from 1 species
GCAAACAAGGCAGAGAUCACAGGACUGGAGAACACAGUACAUCUUGCUGAUCACAAACAAUUACACACAAAGACAAAGGAAAAGCCCAAGGCUUACAUAGGAGCUCAGUGAAUACAUUGGCUACAGGUGAGAACUAAACUUAAUUAACACAAUGGCUACAGGUGAGAACUAAACUCAAUUAACACAUUGACUACAGGUGAGAACCAAACAUGGAGGGAAAACUAAGGUGUGAGGGAAAUACUAAAACACAGGAGAGGAUGAACGGACUGGAGUAGCAUAUGGAGCAAGAGCAGGAACAGGAACAGAGGAGCGUGCAGCAGAGGUUGUGACAAUUUUCAGUAUCUUUUCUAAGUGCAUGUCACAUUUCAAAUGUGCUCUAACACUCUACCUUUUUAAAAACACCAGGUUUAUCAUGUCGUUUGAAUGACAAGGUCAGCAAUCACAGACUGAUAUUAUCGUUACUGAAGAAAAAAAGAGCUCUUGGAAAUGUAUUCAAAAGGAUUGAAAACCCAUUGCACCCUAAAGCAAAGAAAUGGUCGAUCCAAACUUGCUGCACAUGGAUUUCACAUUAGUACUGGAUGUCCCUGAAGGUUCCAAGGGUCAACCAUGAAAUAUUCAGUAAUUAGUCAGUUGGUGUGCGUUUAAUUCAAAUCACAAGAUAGUCAUACUUCAUCUCCACAUUCUGCCUGAAGAUGAAUGGAAAUUGCGCUCUUUUUUAGGAAGAACCUGUGAUUUUCACUCUCAUUCAGAGGUCUCAAGUUCACAUGCUUUUCUUUUGGCCAGAAGAGGCAUGGUUAGUGAGGUAACUGGCCCUGCUCCUGACGUGCCUCGUGAGGUUUAUACUAGAAAUCCCUCUUAGGUCUACAAAGAGUCAGCAGAAAGAUGGAAGUGGAGAAGAAAGGCCAAGAGGACCAGGAGGGCCAAGAGAAGGCUGGAGCCAGCGCUCCAGAGGAGGAGAAAGUCUUGUGAAACAGUCCAGCCUUCCACCGGCCCAGAUAAGAGAAAGGCAGAGCCAGUCAGAAGAGCUGGGUCAGUGUUGGUGCAUGAAUCAAGCUCAACGCUGUUCUGUUUGAUGCAACACACCUGCUGACCUUGUCUACGAUUGUUUAUUUUUGAAUCCAUUUUGUUGGCAUGGUUUCAGAUGAAUUUAAGCAGAAACAAGAACUCAUAUUCACGUUGACUAUUUGAGUACAGUAGAGCCAUUCUGUAUGAGUUAUUGAGAAGGCACGCUCUUUAUAAUGCAUCAUUCACACAUUCAUAAUGCAUUAUAUGCCAUAGGUAAUGUAUUAUAAUGUGCUUCAUAGAGUCUUACAAUGACUCCUGCGGAGUUGUAACUACUGAAUACUGACUCAUAAACCUGUGUAAUAUAAUGCUGCAUAAACCAGUACCUGUUUAUCAUGAUUAUUAUAUCAUGUCCUUAACACCAUAUAUCUGAUAACAUGGAUCUGAUAAAACCCAUUCUUACCCGAAAUAACACAAAUCACUAUGGCUGCU